UUUUCGUGUUCCUAUGUUCUUAAGUCAUGAUAGAUAUUUAGACAUUGUUUAACUUUCUCACCUUUGUUUGGUCAGGUCACCAACACGUUUGACCACGUACUGGUACACAUAUGGUGUUUCUCAAGUAUUAUAUGGGCGAGUCUUUGACCACUGGAACUUGCAUUGCCGUGUACCAGAGGUACCUCUAUGAUCAGUUGAAGGCAUAUGAAAUGGUGGACAUGGUUGCAUUUGUUGAUCCUUCACUUAUUGGUGUUGUGGGCUGUGGGAAUGGAACUGUCAAAAGAUAGGCUUGUUGCUGGUCCUUUUUUGCUAAGGAAAGCAUCCUUUUUUGUGCUUCUCUGUUGGUACAUUGUCAUGCACCAUGUGUUGCAUGUUUUGGAACAAUAGAUAUAUAUGUAUCAGCUUUUUGAUGUGUUAAGUGGAUGGGCAUGCACUAGAAUGCUUUUCUUGUUUAAAAUGUUGGGUUCAAUGAUUAGUGGUUUGCAAUGUUUA